rnacentral:tRNA from 1 species
GCUUGGAUGGUGGAAUUGGUAUACACGUUAGAUUUAGGAUCUAAUACUUUCGGGUUUGUGGGUUCAAGUCCCACUCUAAGUA